rnacentral:lncRNA from 1 species
UGAUUUAUUAAAUAUUAAUUCAAGAUUAAUUUCUUAGUUUGAUUUUAAUAAUAUAUUAAUUAGGUUUUUAUUUAAUUAAUUAAAAUUAAUUACACUAAAAUUUCUAAAUUAAAUUUCUCAAUAUCACAUUUAUGUUUAAAAUAGAAUGAAAAAAAUCAACAUAUCUAAAUUUAAUAUCUAAUAUAAGAAAUAUGUGAUAGAUUUUAUCUUCUU